CAUGAUAUACCCUGUAGAUCCGGACUUUUGUAGAAUUAUCAUUAAGUUCGAAAAAUCGUUUCUACAGUUAUCUUACGG